GUCAAGUCGACAUUAUCUGCAGUCGCCAUUUGUUAAAGUUCAGAAGAAUGUCAAACUCAUUCAAUCAAGGUUUAAUUGGUCCACAGAUCCCUCCUGGAAGAAUGGACCCCAUGCACAACAAUGCACCACUACAGUUUAACACAAACAAAGGGAAGCCACCCAUGGCACUGGAGGGAGAUCCAGACCAAGUGAGUAGUACAGGGGGUGGAGACAUGAUGGGUCAGGGAUUCUUUGGCAGUGGAAAUGCAGGGGGAGGAGGCCUCAUGGGGAGCAUGAUGCAGGGUCCCAUGAUGGGGACUGACCCCAGCAUGAUGAUGAUGUUUAAUCAGUAUGGUGGUUGGGGACCAAUGGGUCCUAACAAUCAGGACAUGUUGAUGCAGUUCAUGCCUAAAGAAAUAAUCACCCUGAAAACCUGUGUGUUAUACCCACCUCCACCAAAUGCCCCUCCACCCACCACUAGAGAGAGACCCCCGGGAUGUAGAACAGCCUUUGUGGGAGGAUUACCAGAGAAUGUGACCGAGGAAAUCAUUGGGGAGGCUUUUGCAAACUUUGGAAUGAUUGUCAGUAUCAGGAAGGGGAAGAAAAAUUUCUGCCACAUUCGAUAUGAACUUGAGGAAAGCGUGGACAGAUCUUUAUUUUUAUCAGGUUACAGAAUGAAGAUAGAGGACAAAGAUGAUAAACCAAACACAGGGCGGCUCCAUGUGGACUAUGCCCAGGCCCGAGACGAUCAGUACGAGUAUGAGUGUAAGCAGAGGAUGCUGGCCAGGGAGAUGAGGCAUCGGCAGAGACUGGAGGAGGACCGUCUCCACCCCCCAAGUCCUCCCCCCAUUGUCCACUACAGUGACCACGAGGCCUAUGUACUCAUGGAGCAACUAAAAUCUGAUGACGAGUUUAUGAAAGCCUCACAGAUUCUUAUGACAUGGUUGGAAAGGGGGGAUCUAACAAAACGAAAUGUCACUAAUUUCUACAGCAUGAUUCAAUGCACAAACUCCCAGGUCCGACGAUUGCUGUCGGAAAAACAAAACCAAGAGGAGGCUCUGCAAAAAAUGAAAGAAAAUUUCCGAAAUAUUUUUGAAGGAAUUCUACACCAAUGAGAUCAAGCAGAACCAACUAGAGGAGUUCCUCAGCACGCGGAUGGAUGACGACAUGGAAAUGUCAGACGAGGAGCCGUCAGAACCAAAAAAGAAAAAGCCAGAUGAACCGUUUAAUCCUCAACAGCUGCAGGAAUUCUUGGCAAGAGGCACAAUGAGGGAAGAAAACGAUUCCCUGAAAUGUCAGAUUGAGGCUUACAAGAAUGAGCUGGAGAUGAUGAAGGCAGAAAAAGUCAAUGGUUUAUCAGAGAAAGACAGUCAACUGAAAAUCCUACAGCAAGCUAUGCAGGGCAUGCAACAGCAACUGAUUCAAGCCAAAAUGGAGUGUAAGCAGUUUGAGAAUGAGUUGAAAGCAGUAAAGCAAUCUCAACUUGAAGAGAAGAAGGCAGAGAAAUCUUGCGAAGGCUCAGAGGAUAAGAAGGAACAACAUCAGAAGAAAAACAGAGUUCUAGUAAAGAAACGUCUGUGUCCACAGUCAGCAGUACAGGACUAACUCUGACAGAGAAAGAGACCAAACUCAUAGGUUUAGUAUCCUGUUUCCUACAUGUCCACCCUAAUGGAGCCAGUGUGGACUACAUUUGGUCCUAUCUAUCCCAGCUGAAUGUCAGCACUCGAACCAGUGAACUAGAGGAACUCUUAUUGCGUCUCCCCAUGUUGUUUAAACUGAACAUGAGUGGUGUGGGAGCAGGGAUAGAGAAGAAAUGGCAGUUUGUUGCCUAUUCCAACACAGCAUUCAUCCCAUUUAGCUUUAAUAGCUAACACUAAUGGAUCUUGUGACUAGCUGAGAUAUUUUAAUACCAAUGUCAAGCUUUAUAGCUAAUUUGUUUUAGCUUCUUGCCAGUGCAUUCAACAUUGAUCCAUCAUUCUGUCUACAUUUUGUUUCAUUAGCUGUUCAUUGCAUUGUUUUUGAGGCUAUUUUGUUUUUGUUAUCAGUACUUCAAUUCACUUUUGUCGAUAUUGAAAUAAAAAACAUUUUAUUGCG
rnacentral:misc_RNA from 1 species